UUGCAUAUCAAUAAGCUGAGGAAAAGAAACUAACAAGGAUUCCCCUAGUAGCGGCGAGCGAAGCGGGAAGAGCUCAAAUUUAUAAUCUGGCACCUUCGGUGUCCGAGUUGUAAUCUCUAGAAGUGUUUUCCGCGUUGGACCGCACACAAGUCUGUUGGAAUACAGCGGCAUAGUGGUGAAACCCCCGUAUAUGGUGCGGACGCCCAGCGCUUUGUGAUACACUUUCAAUGAGUCGAGUUGUUUGGGAAUGCAGCUCAAAUUGGGUGGUAAAUUCCAUCUAAAGCUAAAUAUUGGCGAGAGACCGAUAGCGAACAAGUACCGUGAGGGAAAGAUGAAAAGCACUUUGGAAAGAGAGUUAACAGUACGUGAAAUUGUUGGAAGGGAAACGCUUGAAGUCAGACUUGCUUGCCGGAGCUUGCUUCGGUUUGCAGGCCAGCAUCAGUUUUCCGGGGUGGAUAAUGACGGUUUGAAGGUAGCAGUCUCGGCUGUGUUAUAGCUUUCCGUUGGAUACAUCCUGGGGGACUGAGGAACGCAGCGUGCUUUUGCGAAAGACUCGUC
rnacentral:rRNA from 1 species